CACGUAGGCACCAAGCGUUGUCCGGAUUUAUUGGGCGUAAAGAGCUCGUAGGCGGUUCAGUAAGUCGGGUGUGAAAACUCUGGGCUCAACCCAGAGACGCCACCCGAUACUGCUGUGACUUGAGUACGGUAGGGGAGUGGGGAAUUCCUGGUGUAGCGGUGAAAUACGCAGAUAUCAGGAGGAACACCAGUGGCGAAGGCGCCACUCUGGGCCGUAACUGACGCUGAGGAGCGAAAGCGUGGGUAGCAAACAGG
rnacentral:rRNA from 1 species